UACGUAGGGGGCAAGCGUUGUCCGGAUUUAUUGGGCGUAAAGAGCGUGUAGGCGGCCAGACAGGUCAGCUGUGAAAACUCGAGGCUCAACCUCGAGACGUCGGUUGAAACCGUCUGGCUAGAGUCCGGAAGAGGAGAGUGGAAUUCCCGGUGUAGCGGUGAAAUGCGUAGAUAUCGUAAGGAAGACCAGUGGCGAAGGCGGGUCUCUGGACAGUUCCUGACGCUGAGGCACGAAGGCCAGGGGAGCAAACGGG
rnacentral:rRNA from 1 species